rnacentral:rRNA from 1 species
CCCUUAGAUGUUCUGGGCCGCACGCGUGCUACACUGGGUAAAUCAAUGGGUAAGGGAACACGAAAGUGCAACCUAAUCUUGAAAUUUGCUCGUGAUGGGGAUCGACGGUUGCAAUUUUCCGUCGUGAACGAGGAAUACCUUGUAGGCGCGUGUCAUCAUCACGCGCCGAAUACGUCCCUGCCCUUUGUACACACCGCCCGUCGCUCCUACCGAUUGAGUGAUCCGGUGAGGCUCUGGGACCUGGACGGAAAGAGCGUUUCGCUUGUUCUGUUUGGGAAACUUGGUCGAACCUUAUCAUUUAGAGGAAGGAGAAGUCGUAACA